UGAAAAAUUUGGAGGAUUUGCAACAUGAGCAAAUGAACAAUGACUUGGUGGAUUCAGGGGAUGAAAUGGCUCAUGGUGCAUUGGUGACUUGGCUUAGUAGAAAAUCCUAUUCAAUCUGCGAUCUUCGAUUUUGAGGUGGAGGUUAGUGUGUGGUGUUGGUUUUUGAAAGUAGAUCAAGUUUGGUGGUAGUUAUGGAGUUUCAGUUUGCAUAAAUGAUGAAGACGGUGAAAUGAAGAGACGUUUUGCAGAGAUGGUUUAAUGAAGAUGCAUGCUUGAAGUUACGGUUUUCGAGACAGUUUUAUGUUGUAAUAAAAUGUUUGGACUUUUUGUAACCAAAAAAAAAAAAAAAAAAA